rnacentral:pre_miRNA from 1 species
UACCCUGUAGAUCCGAAUUUGUUUGAAGUGAGGCGACAAAUUCGGUUCUAGAGAGGUUUG